UCAGAAACAUAACAAAUCACAGACAGUUUAAAAGUUAUACUUUUUUAGUUUCACUGCAGUUUACACCUAGACUAGAUUAAAAUUUAUACUUACAUUGCUUGAAAAGGUAAACUGAGCAAGAAUUCAUUUAAGAUAAUUUUAUUGCAGUGUAAAAAGAAAAGGUAUGGCGUCUCCGUGUUUACACAAGUUCAACUUUUAGAACCUCUUCAAAUUUAAUUACAAAUUUCCAAUCAAUCAAGGGCAAGAGCAGCAGAACGCCAUUGGUUCCGGGAAAUGUGCCGUCUGAAAUACCGUCCUGGCCAAGAUCCCGGCUUUCCUGCUUCACCACUCCAGGCGGUAGAGAUGAACAACAGCGGAAUAUCCUGAUUUCAUCAUAAUUCGGCAUCGCACAAGAUUCAUACAUGUAAGAUACCUGCUGCGUUGCAAACAACAAUCGGAAGGAUGGAGCCGCUCAUUUUCCGCUGCCUGAUUAUUGAGUUUCGAUGCUGGUUUUUACGAUACAGAAAGUGUAAAAUCAAUUGUACCUUAAUUGAAAAAGUGAAUAAAUUCAA